CGAGGGGAGUGAAAAAGAACCUGAAACCGUGUACGUACAAGCAGUGGGAGCACAGGUUUACCUGUGUGACUGCGUACCUUUUGUAUAAUGGGUCAGCGACUUAUAUUCUGUAGCAAGGUUAACCGAAUAGGGGAGCCGGAGGGAAACCGAGUCUUAAUUGGGCGUUAAGUUGCAGGGUAUAGACCCGAAACCCGGUGAUCUAGCCAUGGGCAGGUUGAAGGUUGGGUAACACUAACUGGAGGACCGAACCGACUAAUGUUGAAAAAUUAGCGGAUGACCUGUGGCUGGGGGUGAAAGGCCAAUCAAACCGGGAGAUAGCUGGUUCUCCCCGAAAGCUAUUUAGGUAGCGCCUCGUGAAUUCAUCUCCGGGGGUAGAGCACUGUUUCGGCUAGGGGGCCAUCCCGGCUUACCAACCCGAUGCAAACUGCGAAUACCGGAGAAUGUUAUCACGGGAGACACACGGCGGGUGCUAACGUCCGUCGUGAAGAGGGAAACAACCCAGACCGCCAGCUAAGGUCCCAAAGUCAUGGUUAAGUGGGAAACGAUGUGGGAAGGCCCAGACAGCCAGGAUGUUGGCUUAGAAGCAGCCAUCAUUUAAAGAAAGCGUAAUAGCUCACUGGUCGAGUCGGCCUGCGCGGAAGAUGUAACGGGGCUAAACCAUGCACCGAAG
rnacentral:rRNA from 1 species